UACGGGGGGGGCAAGCGUUGUUCGGAAUUACUGGGCGUAAAGGGCGCGUAGGCGGCUCGCUAAGUCGGGUGUGAAAACUCUGGGCUCAACCCAGAGCCUGCAUUCGAAACUGACGAGCUAGAGUUCUGGAGGGGAAAGCGGAAUUCCUGGUGUAGCGGUGAAAUGCGUAGAUAUCAGGAGAAACACCGGUGGCGAAGGCGGAUCUCUGGGCCUGUUCUGACGCUGAGGCGCGAAAGCUAGGGGAGCGAACAGG
rnacentral:rRNA from 1 species